rnacentral:rRNA from 1 species
AAUCAACGCUGGCGGCGUGCCUAACACAUGCAAGUCGAACGAGAAAGUCCCCGCAAGGGGAUGAGUACAGUGGCGACCGGGUGAGUAACACGUGACUAACCUACCCUGAAGCGGGGAAUAACCUCGGGAAACCGGGGCUAAUACCGCAUACCUUCCAGAGGGGAAGAUCCUUUGGAGGAAACGAGCAAUCGGCUUUAGGAGGGGGUCGCGCCCGAUUACGGUAGUUGGCGGGGUAACGGCCCACCAAGCCUUUGAUCGGUAGCCGGCCUGAGAGGGCGCACGGCCACACUGGAACUGAAACACGGUCCAGACUCCUACGGGAGGCAGCAGUGGGGAAUUUUGCGCAAUGGGGGAAACCCUGACGCAGCAACGCCGCGUGGAGGAUGAAGUCCCUUGGGACGUAAACUCCUUUCGACCGGGACGAUAAUGACGGUACCGGUGGAAGAAGCCCCGGCUAACUUCGUGCCAGCAGCCGCGGUAAUACGGGGGGGGCAAGCGUUGUUCGGAAUUAUUGGGCGUAAAGGGCGCGUAGGCGGCGCGUGCAAGUCUCCUGUGAAAUCCCCGGGCUCAACCCGGGGCCUGCAGGGGAAACUGCCGUGCUGGAGUGUGGGAGAGGUGAGUGGAAUUCCUGGUGUAGCGGUGAAAUGCGCAGAUAUCAGGAGGAACACCGGUGGCGAAGGCGGGUCUCUGGGCCGAUACUGACGCUGAGGAGCGAAAGCGUGGGGAGCGAACAGGAUUAGAUACCCUGGUAGUCCACGCCGUAAACGUUGGGCGCUAGGUGUGGGAUCCCUUCCACGGGUUCCGUGCCGCAGCUAACGCAUUAAGCGCCCCGCCUGGGGAGUACGGCCGCAAGGCUAAAACUCAAAUGAAUUGACGGGG